UACGUAGGGGGCAAGCGUUGUCCGGAUUUAUUGGGCGUAAAGCGCGCGUAGGCGGCGCGGUAUGUCGUGCGUGAAAUCUCCAGGCUCAACCUGGAGGGGUCAUUCGAUACUGCCGUGACUAGAGGUCGGUAGGGGAGUGUGGAAUUCCUGGUGGAGCGGUGAAAUGCGCAGAUAUCAGGAGGAACACCCGUAGCGAAGGCGGCACUCUGGGCCGAUACUGACACUGAGGAGCGAAAGCGUGGGGAGCGAACAGG
rnacentral:rRNA from 1 species